rnacentral:rRNA from 1 species
UACGGGGGGGGUAAGCGUUGUUCGGAAUUACUGGGCGUAAAGGGCUCGUAGGUGGCCAACUAAGUCAUACGUGAAAUCCCUCGGCUUAACCGGGGAACUGCGUCUGAUACUGGAUGGCUUGAGUUUGGGAGAGGGAUGCGGAAUUCCAGGUGUAGCGGUGAAAUGCGUAGAUAUCUGGAGGAACACCGGUGGCGAAGGCGGCAUCCUGGACCAAUACUGACACUGAGGAGCGAAAGCCAGGGGAGCAAACGGG